rfam:Fictibacillus arsenicus strain G25-54, complete genome.
UAGGCAGUAUCCUUACAGUGGAACUGCACUAGUACUGCGAGUUUUUGAACAUAAACCAUAUAUCUGCCUAGAUCCAAAAUCAGGACCGGGACAGAGGG